GAGCCGAACCAAUUGAUUACCUUCGGGUAUGAAGUUAGGGAAGCGAGCGGCGGAUGGGUGAGUAACACGUGGGUAACCUACCCUAUAGUCUGGGAUACCACUUGGAAACAGGUGCUAAUACCGGAUAAAAGGAGAGAUCACAUGAUUUCUUUUUGAAAGGCGGCGUAAGCUGUCGCUAAAGGAUGGACCCGCGGUGCAUUAGCUAGUUGGUAAGGUAACGGCUUACCAAGGCAACGAUGCAUAGCCGAGUUGAGAGACUGAUCGGCCACAUUGGGACUGAGACACGGCCCAAACUCCUACGGGAGGCAGCAGUAGGGAAUCUUCCACAAUGGACGCAAGUCUGAUGGAGCAACGCCGCGUGAGUGAAGAAGGUUUUCGGAUCGUAAAGCUCUGUUGUUGGUGAAGAAAGAUAGUGAGAGUAACUGCUCAUUAUUUGCCGGUAAUCAACCAGAAAGUCACGGCUAACUACGUGCCAGCAGCCGCGGUAAUACGUAGGUGGCAAGCGUUGUCCGGAUUUAUUGGGCGUAAAGCGAGCGCAGGCGGAAAGAUAAGUCAGAUGUGAAAGCCCUCGGCUUAACCGAGGAAUAGCAUCGGAAACUGUCUUUCUUGAGUGCAGAAGAGGAGAGUGGAACUCCAUGUGUAGCGGUGGAAUGCGUAGAUAUAUGGAAGAACACCAGUGGCGAAGGCGGCUCUCUGGUCUGUAACUGACGCUGAGGCUCGAAAGCAUGGGUAGCGAACAGGAUUAGAUACCCUGGUAGUCCAUGCUGUAAACGAUGAGUGCUAAGUGUUGGGAGGUUCCGCCUCUCAGUGCUGCAGCUAACGCAUUAAGCACUCCGCCUGGGGAGUACGACCGCAAGGUUAAAACUCAAAG
rnacentral:rRNA from 1 species